UCUGGUGACGAUGGCGAAGUGGACACACCUGUAACCAUACCGAACACAGAAGUUAAGCACUUCAGCGCCGAAUGUAGUACUAACCGUGCGAGACUAGGUCGUUGCCAGGC
rnacentral:rRNA from 1 species